GCCGACGUAGCUCAAUUCGGCAGAGCAUCCGCCUUGUAAGCGGACGGUUGCCGGUUCAAGUCCGGCCGUCGGCU
rnacentral:tRNA from 1 species